CCUCAACAAGCCAAGGAGGGAAUCAGACCCCACAUCCACCUGAUGGGUUUAACUCCCUUUGAAAUUAUGUAUGGAAAACCUGCCCCUAUUAUUCCAAACCUCCAGGCAGCAGCCCUAAUGGAUA